GACGAACGCUGGCGGCGUGCCUAAUACAUUCAAGUAGAACGCUGAAGGAGGAGCUUGCUUCUCUGGAUGAGUUGCGAACGGGUGAGUAACGCGUAGGUAACCUGCCUGGUAGCGGGGGAUAACUAUUGGAAACGAUAGCUAAUACCGCAUAAUAGUAGAUGUUUCAUGACAUUUGCUUAAAAGGUGCACUUGCAUCACUACCCGAUGGACCUGCGUUGUAUUAGCUAGUUGGUGAGGUAACGGCUCACCAAGGCAACGAUACAUAGCCGACCUGAGAGGGUGAUCGGCCACACUGGGACUGAGACACGGCCCAGACUCCUACGGGAGGCAGCAGUAGGGAAUCUUCGGCAAUGGACGGAAGUCUGACCGAGCAACGCCGCGUGAGUGAAGAAGGUUUUCGGAUCGUAAAGCUCUGUUGUAAGAGAAGAACGAGUGUGAGAGUGGAAAGUUCACACUGUGACGGUAUCUUACCAGAAAGGGACGGCUAACUACGUG
rnacentral:rRNA from 1 species